AUGUCGAGGCCCAAUUUUAGCAAAAACAACUCGAGUGGCACAAGGGGCAAGCAACGUGUAAGGACUUGCUACAAUUGCGGCAACGUGAGUCAUUUCGUUGCGGAAUGCCCGUAUGAGAAGAGGGAAGACAAUGGUGGCAAACUCAUCCGAAAGGACAAGGCCAAGUCGUUCCCCAACAAGAACAACUUCACCAAGAAGACUCCUCCCAAGGCUUUGGUUGUGCAAGAAGAGUACAAUGAGGAUGAUGACGAUGAUGAAGAUGAUGAGUCGGUUGCCAUGGCCUCCGUUGCCAUUGCAACAACAUCACGGGUGUCUCUCUUCGACUCACCCAAUGAGAGCAUCACCGCCAAGUGCCUCAUGGCUAAAGCCACCAACAAGGUAACCCCUAACAUCAAAACUACCAUCAUUAAUCAUCCUUCUUCG
rnacentral:rRNA from 1 species